CCUUUGACAUCCUAGGACGACUUCUGGAGACAGAUUUCUUCCCUUCGGGGACCUAGUGACAGGUGCUGCAUGGCUGUCGUCAGCUCGUGUCGUGAGAUGUUGGGUUAAGUCCCGCAACGAGCGCAACCCUCGUCCUUAGUUGCCAUCAUUAAGUUGGGCACUUUAAGGAAACUGCCGGUGAUAAGCCGGAGGAAGGUGGGGAUGACGUCAAGUCCUCAUGGCCCUUACAGGCUGGGCUACACACGUGCUACAAUGGCAUCUACAGUGGGCAGCUAUUCCGCAAGGAUGCGCUAAUCUCCAAAAGAUGUCUCAGUUCGGAUUGUCCUCUGCAACUCGAGGGCAUGAAGGCGGAAUCGCUAGUAAUCGCGGAUCAGCAUGCCGCGGUGAAUACGUUCCCAGGCCUU
rnacentral:rRNA from 1 species